AUUGAACGCUGGCGGCAGGCCUAACACAUGCAAGUCGAACGAGUGGCGGACGGGUGAGCAAGGUCUGGGAAACUGCCUGAUGGAGGGGGAUAACGACUGGAAACCGUAGCUAAUACCGCAUACCAUCGGAUGUGCCCAGAGGGGAUUAGCUAGUAGGUGGGGUAACGGCUCACCUAGGCGACGAUCCCUAGCUGGUCUGAGAGGGUGACCAGCCACACUGGAACUGAGACACGGUCCAGACUCCUACGGGAGGCAGCAGUGGGGAAUAUUGCACAAUGGGCGAAAGCCUGAUGCAGCCACGCCGCGUGUGUGAAGAAGGCCUUCGGGUUGUAAAGUACUUUCGGCAGGGAAGCGUUACUCACAGAGGAAGCACCGGCUAACUCCGUGCCAGCAGCCGCGGUAAUUC
rnacentral:rRNA from 1 species